rnacentral:rRNA from 1 species
CCUGGGGGCCUUGGGGCGGGGGUCCCCCCGGCCCCAUGCCGAACUCAGAAGUGAAACGCCGUAGCGCCGAUGGUAGUGUGGGGUCUCCCCAUGCGAGAGUAGGGAACUGCCAGGC